rnacentral:misc_RNA from 1 species
ACGCUGUUCGUCUUUGACGAACACUUUAGUGUUCAUGCGCAUAGGCUCUUCGGCCGAUCACGUAAGAGCGGGUGCAGCAUUAGUGUGGCUGUACCAGACACGAGCAGUCUCAGUAUAUGACGGAAGCUUGUGCCGAAUGUUCAACAUCUGCUGCCACUGCUUUCUAGCCACCACAUCUUAACAGUGAGAAGUUGAUCUAAACCUGCUUUACCGUCCAAGCUCCAUCUAUUGAUAGGUUAAAGAAUUCUGGGGAAAAUAGCAGGAGUUGUCCUAUACGUUUUGAAACAUCACCUAGAGAUAAUAUUUUAAACUAUCUUAUCUUUUUCGUCUUGGUACUCCAGAGAGCCACAAAUCAUUGGAUAAAACAGUCUUUUUUUUAUCCUUGAUUAUAUAUUAUGACACAGUAAAGAACAUUGUCGCUCCUUGUCAUCAUCACCAUUAACACACGUUUGGUUUUACCCAAUUUUCCGAAAUUUCCUGGGGCCAGCCUACUAGACCAGCGACCAACCAGUUGAACUGAGCCAGCUGUUCUUUCACCGAUGCGAUAAAUAUAACGGAGAAGACGGACAGUGUUGGAGAUUGCAUGAGUCACAGUUAUCCAGACAGUUCAGACACAGUGUCGCCCCAAUAAGCAACCCUUUCUGUUCUUCUCUCGCUUCUGUGGGAGUACCUGAAACUAAAAACUUGGUGGAUCGACUCGGCGUCAUCUAGCCAACCAGACAGACAAACCUACCAAACCCGCUGUGCACGGGGCAGCCUUAACCCUUUCAUUCCAGGUGUACGUGCGUGAAAGGCUCAGCGGUUUCAGCGCAUUUCGAACGGCGUAGUCUGGUAUUCAGUAAUUCGUCUAGCCAAUCCAAGUAUUACAAAAAGUGGUCCUCGUCAGUUCGCCCCACCACACAUCGCCGAAGCUUAGGUUUCUAUCCCAGGCCAAACAUUUAGCAGGGAGAGACUGCUACUACGUUCUUAUCGCCCACUUGCCGGAAUUGAAGGAGCAUUUGACGUUGGAAUUUGGAGGCUCCUUUGUGGUUUAUUCUUCUAGAAGAUUCGAUGAUUAUGGCCAUGGUAAACAACCUUCCGACGGUCAAAGACUCUCGCUGGCUGCAGCUGGAGGUUUGCCGAGAAUAUCAGCGAAACAAAUGCACCAGACCUGACACGGAGUGCAAGUUUGCCCAUCCACCUGGAAAUGUGGAGGUUCAGAACGGAAGGGUAAUUACGUGCUACGAUUCCAUAAAGGGUCGGUGUAAUAGAGAAAAACCACCCUGUAAGUACUUUCACCCUCCGCAACACCUAAAGGAUCAGCUUUUGAUAAAUGGGAGAAACCAUCUUGCCCUUAAGAAUGCCUUGUUACAGCAGAUGCCUCUCCAACCAGUUCUCCACAGCCAGAUUCCAACUGUGGCUGCAACGAACUCCUACUUGGCCACUCUUCCCACGAUGGCCACACCUUCAACGUUCAGUCCCUACUUUAGUCCAAGUCCCAUGAUGGGGAUGAUGCCAGCUGAUGCCAUGGCACCACUAAGUGUUAUACCCACACCUAUGGUCACGCCUCAGAAGGUGCCACGUACGGACAGGUUAGAGGCUUUUCCUGGUAUGAUUCCUUGCACCAAAAGGCCAGCACUUGACAAAAGCGGACUCCCCAUGUACCAGCCAAGUACCACACCGUAUCAACAAGCUCUCACCAUGCAGGUUCAGCAGCCCUUCGUGCCUGUUUCCUUUGCUGUACACCCUGGGACUGUGCCAAGAUUUUAAGUCAGGUUUGUGUAAUUGAUCACCAUGUCGCUCUGUUCAUCUUUGAGAAGUAAGGUUUUGUGAAAGUUGUGGAUGGGAAAGCGACAAUGUUUCAUUAUUUGUUCAAAGGGAAAUUCUGUUGCCCUUUAUGCAAGUGCUAUCAUCUUCUUGCGGCCACGCCCUUUUUAGAGAUCUUGGUGUAGUUAUGCCAAGGUUUUAUCUAGGGCUAGAGUUAUAGGCUAUCUUGUAUGAUUUUGCCUCUUUGGGACUAGGGGGAUCCAAAUAAAAGAUAUUUAAGUUGAUGAUGACGUUAAAUAAAAAGUUGACGUGUAUCACUAACCCUAAUAUAUUCGAUUGCGUGAGAUCAAAAAUGAAAUAACAUACUUCAAAAUUGGUGAAAUCUUUUUUUUUUCUCUCUCUCUCUCUCUUUAAAUGCUGAAAUUUGAACCGAUGUUCGAUGAUGAAUUUGAAAUUUCUACCAAAAGAGUUUAUAUUUGAUAAUCAUGAACUUGUUUGGAGCUCUAGUCACACAUUCGACAAACAUGAAAAAUCUAAAUCUCUCUCACGUGCCAUUAAUUAUGACCACAUUCGAGACGUAUUUUUACUUGAAGAAGUAUGAAUGUUGAAGAAAAAGGUAUUUUCAAUUCCAUAUUACUUCCUCUCCAAACCAGCUCUUCUAUGUUGUGAUACUAGUUUUAAAAUAUAUUUACAUUUCUUUAACUGCAAAUAAUGUAGUAUCAUUUGGUGAUGGGUUAUGAACAGUUAAUGUUUAUGCAAAGUUAAAACACACGUUUUAAUCAUUUUUGGAUUAAGAAUGACCGACACAUUAUAAGAUAAUAAGAAAUUAUCAGAUAUAGGCUCAUUUUGAUGGCUAUUUGUUACUUGAAACUUAAAAACAGACGACUAUAUUGUUGUAUUUUUGAAUCAGUUAACGUUAAAUUUCAAUUCAAUUUGAUUAACUUUUUUAAAAUGUUUCCGUUAAUUUAUAAGUGUUAAAGUAACCCAAUGUUUUUUUGUAUUAUACUACAAGCAAAUGAAAUAAAUAUUAAACCCUGACACCAUAUAUAUACAUAUAUAUAUAUAUAUAUGUGAAAAUAUAUUAUAUUGAUAAUUAAUUAUUUUUAAAGACAUGAACUUACUUUAAAGUGUGUAGCUAAAACACCAUAAACAGAAAGAUAAGAAAUGAUGAUGAUAUGAGUUUGUGUAAACUUGAAAAGUAUAAGAUUAUGGUAUGAUAAUAUUUCUAUUGAUGGAUGUGUUCAUAUCUUUGAUUAAAAAUUGAAUGCGUUUCUCAUACGUGAUUUUGUUUUGUUUAAAUAUGGGUGUUACUAUUAAGUUUGCACUAUUUCGAAAUGUAAGGAAGAAGUCUGUUAUUGAUAGGUUUUCUUCUAUAUAAUAUUUACACAGCUUCAAAGGUAGUUAACGAUGGUAACGAAGGUUGUGUAUUUUUUAUUCAGCUAUAUUAACCAUUAUUACUAGUGUCCAAACUGAGUACUAAUAGUCGUAUGCGAUUGAAUGAAGUGAUUGAAUUAGCCUCAAAAGUCAUUAUGAAAUAUAUCAAGGUUAUGUGUUAAAACUUCCCCAAACUCUCUACUGGGUAUUAAAAAGUAUAUAUUUUAACGUUUGUGGUAAAUCAAUUCGGUUAAAAACCUAUGUCAAAAUGUGUGAUGUAUACACUAUGAUGCAUACUGGUUGAAGUUUGAAGUUUCAGUUCAAAGAUUGUUGGAUUGAGUUACAAAUAUGCCAAUUGGCGUAUGCAUUUUCAAAAUUUGUAAGGUUUAUGUUUUUACUCUCUUCAAAAUAUACACGCGAAAUGUGAAGAACAACAGAAGCUUUUACACUUACACGUAUUUCUCAUGCUUGCAGGUCACAAAGUUUAAUAAUUUCAUUACUUGAAGUUUCUCGGUCUUGCGAACACCCAUUUCCUUGCAACAUCGAAACCAUGUACUAGGUUCUGCCUAAAUUCCAGCUUCUCCAAAAUUUGAUUUGAUUGGUUGGUAUAAACAUAACAUCAUCCACUUAAAGCAUGAAUUAUCACCUUUACUACUCGUCUAGAUCCAGGCCAUCGAUGAACAUAAUUAAUCAAAUGUUUGAAAUUAUCGAGCUUGGCAGACUUGCCACUUUUUUGUUUUUGACAAAUCAGUCAAGCAAAAUAAAAUGGUAAACAAGGGAAUGAGUAAAGUUCGAGUAUUGGCUGAAAAUGCUAAUUUCAUACUAAAUGCCUCUGGAUUUUGAGCUUUCAAUCAGAUAUAUUUUCAUAUAACUAUGUUAAAAACGAGAGAAAUUAUCCCAACAAAUAACAAAUAUAUAUCCUUAAUCUGUUUGACGAGACUGUGACUGUAGAAAGCAACAGUGACACUAGUAAUCCUUAUACUGUGACUGUAGAAGGCAACAGCGGCUCUAGCUAUCCUUAAACUGUGAUGAGACUGUGAAUAUAGAAGGCAACAGCAACACUAGCUAUUCUGAAGCUAUGUUAUAAGACUGUAACUGUAG